GUGCAGGUGAUGCCAACAGAUUUGCCCGAAACACGCUUUGUUGGAAUAAAUGAAACUAAAUACACAGUGAUGCAGGAGCUGCAGUCCUGUAUUGUGAAUCAAAGCCUAUCAUCAGUGUCUACUGUCUGCAGAGCGAGUUGUUGUAGCAGUAGGAUCCUCUGCCAGCUGAAGUUCCUGUCCUGGUGUUAAAAGAGAGAUCAGCUACUGAUAAUCUGCUGUGUGUUGGUCCUGGAGAACUACUGCACAGGACGGAUCUUCAUGAUGAUGAAGCAGAUCUGAGGUCUGUGAGGGAGUGAUGAUGGACAGGUGACCAGCUGCACCUUUAAACUAGCGAGUUGUUGUAGCAGUAGGAUCCUCUGCCAGCUGAAGUUCCUGUCCUGGUGUUAAAAGAGAGAUCAGCUACUGAUAAUCUGCUGUGUGUUGGUCCUGGAGAACUACUGCACAGGACGGAUCUUCAUGAUGAUGAAGCAGAUCUGAGGUCUGUGAGGGAGUGAUGAUGGACAGGUGACCAGCUGCACCUUUAAACUAGCGAGUUGUUGUAGCAGUAGGAUCCUCUGCCAGCUGAAGUUCCUGUCCUGGUGUUAAAAGAGAGAUCAGCUACUGAUAAUCUGCUGUGUGUUGGUCCUGGAGAACUACUGCACAGGACGGAUCUUCAUGAUGAUGAAGCAGAUCUGAGGUCUGUGAGGGAGUGAUGAUGGACAGGUGACCAGCUGCACCUUUAAACUAGCGAGUUGUUGUAGCAGUAGGAUCCUCUGCCAGCUGAAGUUCCUGUCCUGGUGUUAAAAGAGAGAUCAGCUACUGAUAAUCUGCUGUGUGUUGGUCCUGGAGAACUACUGCACAGGACGGAUCUUCAUGAUGAUGAAGCAGAUCUGAGGUCUGUGAGGGAGUGAUGAUGGACAGGUGACCAGCUGCACCUUUAAACUAGCGAGUUGUUGUAGCAGUAGGAUCCUCUGCCAGCUGAAGUUCCUGUCCUGGUGUUAAAAGAGAGAUCAGCUGCUGAUAAUCUGCUGUGUGUUGGUCCUGGAGAACUACUGCACAGGACGGAUCUUCAUGAUGACGGUCUUCAGGGAGUUAAAUUAAGUUAAAAAGAAAAUACCCGUUCUGUGGCCAAAGCCAAAGGGCUCCUUUGAUCAAACUUCAGUCGAUGGAGAGACUUUUCUUCUGUUGC